rnacentral:rRNA from 1 species
GAUGAACGCUGGCGGCGUGCCUAAUACAUGCAAGUCGAGCGAACAGACGAGGAGCUUGCUCCUCUGACGUUAGCGGCGGACGGGUGAGUAACACGUGGAUAACCUACCUAUAAGACUGGGAUAACUUCGGGAAACCGGAGCUAAUACCGGAUAAUAUAUUGAACCGCAUGGUUCAAUAGUGAAAGACGGUUUUGCUGUCACUUAUAGAUGGAUCCGCGCCGCAUUAGCUAGUUGGUAAGGUAACGGCUUACCAAGGCAACGAUGCGUAGCCGACCUGAGAGGGUGAUCGGCCACCCUGGAGCUGAGACACGGUCCAGACUCCUACGGGAGGCAGCGGUGGGGAAUCUUCCGCAAUGGGCGAAAGCCUGACGGAGCAACGCCGCGUGAGUGAUGAAGGUCUUCGGAUCGUAAAACUCUGUUAUUAGGGAAGAACAAAUGUGUAAGUAACUAUGCCCGUCUGGACGGUACCUAAUCAGAAAGCCACGGCUAACUACGU